rnacentral:rRNA from 1 species
AACGAACGCUGGCGGCAUGCCUAACACAUGCAAGUCGAACGAGACCUUCGGGUCUAGUGGCGCACGGGUGCGUAACGCGUGGGAACCUGCCUUUAUGUUCGGAAUAACUCAGAGAAAUUUGAGCUAAUACCGGAUGAUGUCUUCUGACCAAAGAUUUAUCGCCUUUCGAUGGGCCCGCGUUGGAUUAGGUUGUUGGUGGGGUAAAGGCCUCCCAAGGCGACGAUCCAUAGCUGGUAUGAGAGGAUGAUCAGCCACACUGGGACUGAGACACGGCCCAGAAUCCUACGGGAGGGAGCAGUGGGGAAUAUUGGAAAAUGGGCGAAAGCCUGAUCCAGCAAUGCCGCGUGAGCGAUGAAGGUCUUAGGGUUGUAAAGCUCUUUUAACCGAGAUGAUAAUGACAGUACCGGGAGAAUAAGCUCCGGCUAACUCCGUG